UGACCAGUAUGUACAGAAACUAGAGACCCUCACCUUUCGAACGAGGUACGUCACGUGUUUGCCCGACGAUUUCCUAUGCCAUAAUUUCCGUGCCCAACGGAGGUUAUAAAAUUAACAGUCUCAGCUGUUUUGCGCACAUUACGUCAUUACGCACAGCUGUAGUCCAAGUCAGCUUGUUGUUUUGCUUCGGCUGUGUUUUUUUUUGUUAGAUUUCUUUUAUAAUAAUGGCGCAGAAGAGGCAGAUGACCGCUCUGGAAGCGUUGGAGGAAAUUACCAGGUUGAGCGAUAUUGACAUAGAGAAUUAUUCAGAUACAGCUGUGGAUUUUGAUCAGGAAGAAGAUGAGAAUAUAUUGAGGUGCCUUGGUUACCUGAAUGCUGUUCCUGGACCCUCUUCUUUCACGGUCAAGCUCAGGUUAAAACCUCCCCGGAUUCCAUCUCUCUGGAUCUGAGUCGCACUCCGAACUUCCGAACCCAAGCCGAAAACCCUGUCUGCCCUCCAACGAACCAAACCUACACCAACAAGCAAAACAAGCCGCCUCCUCGACCUGACACCCUCCUGGACCAAAAACUCAAUUCUCACCAAGGCGAGGCUGAACCGGUCCCUGAGAGUUCCUGCCAUACCGAAUAUCAUUACUGCACAAAAAAUAAAACCUGUAAAACAAUCAGCUGUCUCAAGUUUCUGCAUGUGGGUCAAAAGAAUUGAAAAAACUGACAGAACACUCAGCCCAGUCUGACCCAGCCGAAGCCUCAAGAUCAGUACUUAACGAACAGAAAACAUUACUACUUACCCACGAGUGUGUCCUACGAAGUUUGAGACCCCUAGCGUUCUGGCCCCGGCAGUGCAACCUCACUCUACCCCUUGUGACGUCACUAUACCUACUCCUGAACUUUUCUGUGGUGAAAUCGGACAAUGUGGUGGGUUCCUUUUACAAAUUACCCUGGUCUUUAACCGCUCACCCCAAUCCUUCCCCAGUGAUGAGACUAAGAUCUCCUACAUGAUGGCGUUGUUUCGGGGAAAGGCUUUAAGAUGGGCCGAAGCCCGCUUUCAACAGUAUUCUCGUUUUGAAUGCUCUUUCCAAGAAUUCAUUAAUGAAUUAAAGCUCACUUUUGAUCACAAACCCAGUGACACAGACGUUUCCAGAAAGAUGUGGAGUCAGACAGGGUAAUCAGUCUGUUUCUGAAUUUUCCAUUGAGUUCCACACCCUCGCUGCAUCUUCAGGCUGGAAUCCCAGCGCUCUAAAAGGAGCCUUUUCCUCACUCCCUAAAUGACUCUUUAAAGGAGGAAUUUGUUCUCAGAGAUGAACCCAGAUAAUCGGGUGUGUCCCAGGUGGGACACACCCGAUUAUCACCCGUGGAACGUCAACAAAGGCUUGUAAAAGGUGAAUGUCUGCAAUGCGGGUCGAAGGGACAUUUUAAGGGUGCCUGUCUGCUGCAGCCAAAAGACAGGGUCCACCAGUAAAUCCGGGAGCAUUGGUGGACCAAAACGAAAUAUCAGGUUUCUGCCCUGGGAGGACAAAAAUUACCCUGGAUUACACACCAAACCAUCCUGUUGGAAGUCAUCUCUGGCAAUCAUUUAGAGGUUUACAGAAUUUUAUGUCUUCUCACCCCAAUCCAUCCCUGUUCAAUUUGCUUCAAAAACAUAAUCCCCACAUUAAUUGGAACAAACUUACAAUUGACUCCUGGUCCAUACCCUGCCUCUCCUCCUGCCUCCAGUCGGCUGUUCCUCCUUGUCCUCCGCCAGUUAACAGUGUAGAGGAUGACCCCGUUGCUCAAAUUCCUCCAGAGUACCAUGACCUCAAGGAGGUGUUUGGUAAGAAUCAGGAUCUCACUCUGCCUCCCCAUCAUCCAUACGAGUGUGCCACAGAUGCGCUCCCUGGGGCCCCCCACCUUCCAGUCGUCUUUACAAUCUGUCCAAACCAGAAAGAGAGACCAUGACAAAAUACAUAAAUGAAUCCCUAGCUGCAGGCAUCAUUCGUCCCUCCUCAUCACCAGUGGCCGCAGGACUCUUCUUUGUUUCCAAGAAGGACGGUUCACUCCAUACCUGCAUCGAUUAUUGAGGACUAAACAGCAUAACAAAGAACAAAUACCCCCUUCCUCUGAUUUCCUCCGCUUUUGAACUGGUCCAAGGCUCCACUAUUGUCACCAAUUUUGACCUCGGUAAUGCCUAUCAUCUUGUCCGCAUUCGACAAGGUGACGAGUGGAAAACAGCCUUCAGAACACCACUCGGACAUUUCAAAUAUUUGGUGAUGCCUUUCGGCCUUACCAAUGCUCCUGCUGUGUUCCAGGCAUUAAUGACGUCCUCUGGGAUUUUCUAGACAGCUUUGUUUUCGUUUACCUAGAUGACAUCCUAAUCUUCUCAAAAAACCUCCAAGAACACAAGACACAUGUCGGCCUGGUCCUUCAACGUCUCUUGGAGAACAGACUUUAUGUUCAAGCCAAAAAGUGUGGCUUUCACCUCUCUUCAGUGACUUUUCUGGGCUACAUUUUUUAGGGCGGACAGGUCCGAGCUGAACCAGAGAAGAUCAAGGCUGUACAAGACUCGCCCAUUCCUGAGACUCUCAAGCAGCUACAGCGCUUACUGGGGUUUGCAAAUUUUUAUAGGAGGUUCAUUAAAAAUUACAGUCCUGGUCUCCUAAAGCUCAGUCAGCCUUCUUCGAACUCAAGAACCGAUUCUCUUCCGCCUCUAUUUUGGUCCAGCCGCAACCUGACAAAGAAUUCCUUCUAGAGGUUGACGCCUCGGAAUCUGGCAUUGGAGCUAUCAUUCAACGCUCUGAUUCAGAUCAUAAGCUUCAUCCUUGUGCCUUUUUCUCCCAU